UAAAGAUGUAUCAUCUGCGAAUAAUACGAC
rnacentral:piRNA from 1 species